CCAGCAGCAGCAACCCACUUGGGUCCCUUUCCACGCUGUGGAAUAUUUGUUCUUUAGCUCUUCACAAUAAAUCUUGCACUGCUCACUCUUUGGGUCCACGGACUACCUUUAUGAGCUGUAACACUCACUGCAAAGGUCUGUGGCUUCACUCCUGAGGUCAGCAAGACCACGAACCCACUGGGAGGAACAAACAACUCCAGACGCACCACGUUUAAGAGCUGUAACACUCACUGCGAUGGUCUGUGGCUUCACUCCUGAAGUCAGCAAAACCACGAACCCACUAGAAGGAAGAAACUCCGGACACAUCUGAACAUCUGAAGGAAAAAACUCCGGACACACCAUCUUUAAGAACUGUAACACUCACUGCAAGGGUCCAUGGCUUCAUUCUUGAAGUCAGCGAGAACAAGAACCUACCAGAAGGAAUAAAUUCCGGACACAGAAGAAAGAGGAGAAAGGCAAUAGAAACAUUUUUCCAUCUGCUGAAAAGUCUAGAAGCAAUCACCAGCUCAGAAGCAAUGGGCACUGCAAGUGCCCAGAUGGCAGUUUUGGAAUACCAGUUUCCACUAAAAAAAAAAAAAAAAAAAAAAAAAGGGACAGUUCAGUGAAAUGAUUUAUUUUAGAUCUGGAGCAGGAAGUGUACAACACGAGACUACAACAUAGCCAUGAAGCUCUCAAGAAGAGGUCAAUUGGCAGAAAUGGAAAAGAACACCAAGUAUUUUCUCCAUCAGGACUACAUUCUGCAGCAUCUCUUCUCCUCAAAUCUCAUUUGUUACAGUUGGAAAAAAAACAAUUUUGAUUAAUGACCUUAUUUGAAGAAAAAUGAGUUUGAUUAAUCAACUUUUUCCUGUGGAGUGUCAGCUUUGGAGCAAGUCCCCUUGAUGGCAGUUUAUGGGUAUUUAUGAUCUCUAAGUACCUGCUAAACUUCUCAAAUACACACUGACUAUAAG